UCUAAGGUGACCAAAAUCUGUUUCGCUCUGCAGCACUUGUCCCGGAGGCUUUGUAGACAGAGUGACUGAACGAAAACCUAAAUGAGAAAUGCUGUGUACCUCAUCUUGAACUCUUUCACAUGGUGAUUCCUACACAUAAUUGCACACUGUAUGUGUUUAGCUAUCCUAUCUUACAAAGACUUAUUGCCAAUACUGUAUCUGCCUUUCCUCAAUACAAUGUAAA